GCUAUCAUGCAGUCGAGCGAACAGACGAGGAGCUUGCUCCUCUGACGUUAGCGGCGGACGGGUGAGUAACACGUGGAUAACCUACCUAUAAGACUGGGAUAACUUCGGGAAACCGGAGCUAAUACCGGAUAACAUGUUGAACCGCAUGGUUCAACAGUGAAAGACGGUCUUGCUGUCACUUAUAGAUGGAUCCGCGCCGCAUUAGCUAGUUGGUAAGGUAACGGCUUACCAAGGCAACGAUGCGUAGCCGACCUGAGAGGGUGAUCGGCCACACUGGAACUGAGACACGGUCCAGACUCCUACGGGAGGCAGCAGUAGGGAAUCUUCCGCAAUGGGCGAAAGCCUGACGGAGCAACGCCGCGUGAGUGAAGAAGGUCUUCGGAUCGUAAAACUCUGUUAUUAGGGAACAAAUGUGUAAGUAACUAUGCACGUCUUGAC
rnacentral:rRNA from 1 species